CGUUCUUUUCUCUUCCAUUUUGAAAAUUCCAAAUAAAUCGAUGACGUGUACAUAUAACGUCGUUGGAUGUGUGUGUGUGUGUGAUAUAUCUUUCGGGGGAGAGACAAAAAUUUUCGCGCUUACGCGAUCAAAAGUUAGAAAACGAGGGGAGAGCGGGGGAUUCGUAGCGUGUGCAUAUAUGUAUGUGUGAUAAACGUUCGCAGGGUACGUGUAAUCUUACCGGAUUAGAGAUUACCCCAGCGAUUUUCAAGUAGCGUUUAUACCUGGCGGAAAUGCGCUACCGGUUCUGUCUCCCCGUUAUAUGUAUAAGCGGAACAUCUAACUACGUUAAGCAUGCUGUUUGGCUCGGCGUUAUCUUCAUCCCAGACUCCGUAAGUAUUACUUGAACAAAAUCGAUGAACCAGACUGCAUGAGGCAUCCGUACGAAAUGAUACGAUAUCGUUACACUUGUACACGCCAGCGAUAUGUUUUUUUUGUGGAGACCGCAAAAUUAUCGUUACUAUCGAAUUAAUUACUGAUGAAUUUCCGAAGCGGUGCAGGUUCGAUAUCAUCAUUAUUUUCCGUUUUAUGAAUACGAUAAUUUCUAGUCGAUUUGGCGCGCCGAUAUUCCAAUUGUAUGCGAGUAGCGCCGAAUCGAUUUUUCCGUACUCCUCGACGGAAAGAAAUUCCGCAAACGUCUCCCACGAUGCGGAAUACAGGUACGUUUCGGCGUGUCACUUUCCUUUCAAAGUCUCUCUCUUAUUCACUAAUUAGUCAUUUCUUUCUCUCUCCCGUUUGCCCUCUUCUUUCGCCUUUGUGCUUCUAAUCCCAUGGGCUGAUACGAAACCGCCAUUAACAGGGCAGAAAGUGCCAGCGGAAGUGUAGUUCUCCUACCCACGUGAUCAAUCUAGCCGCGUCUCACAUACGCAUUAACAUCAGUCAGCUCCAGGGACUCGAAGUCUGAACAACCUUUCAGUCAUUCAACCUUCUUCUUUUUAUCCAGUCGGUAUACGUACGCUAACUCAGAAAUAAUAUUAUCGUAAAGGCGCAAAUUCUUUCUUUUGUUUUCCGAUGUUGGUGUGUGAAUAUGUAUGGAUACCGCGUAUCGUCGUAUCGCCGUAAUUAUUCAGUAGACAUUAAUACGUGGAAAAUGAAUUUUCGUCUGACGUAAUACGUUCAAUAAUCUAGUUCGUAUGAUGCGAUUGUGUCAUUCGGAAGUAGAAACGGCAGAAGAUUAUAUAGGACGGAUCCCCAGGGCCGCCGACUACACAUCGGAAGGUACACAACGGCGCGGCUAUCGUACAUUCGACGUUGUCCGCUAGUCUGUGGGAUUUCACGAUUUGCAAAUUCUCUUUGCGACGCGGAUGUAACGUUGGAUUGUGAACUGCUGAACUGGCGGAAUAAUUAUGCAAACAAAAACCAAGCGUAUUACAUAUUUCAGGUGAGGAAAACUGCGUGAACGUGUUCGCACUCCGCAUUUUAUUAAAUUGCUGACCUCUGUGACCACUUGCAGUCUUUUUUCUCAUACAUUUUUAUGCUCUUCUCCCGCUCGCCCAUUUUUCUCUCCUUUUUUUUUUUUUUUUUUCGUUUUUUUUUUUUUUUUUUUUUUUCCAUUAUUAUUUAACUACAGUAGAAUUUGCAACGUCCUCGAAUUAUUUCCGCAUGCAAAUUUACAGGAAUACCAAAUUCCACUCAUAUAUUGCAAAUUCCACUCUCUGCAGCGGCCACUUUUGAGUUUAUUGCGUAUUCAUAAAAUACACGGGAUCGUCCGUGACCGAUUGUAUUCGAAUUUUUCACCUUUUCGUUCGGUUCAAACUCAGGUCAAAUACGUCGCAAGAGUAAAUAAUUGAAACGUGUAUAAUGUCACCACUUUUCACAGCGGGUAGGACGCAACGUAGAUCAAAUCUGAUGUAAGUGACAUAGCUAGUCUCAUUGUCAGGGUCCUGGCAAGAGUAAAAAAGGGGGUAGGGGUAUCAGAUUUGGUACAAGACGAACGUAAUUUGAAUAACGAAUUCGUGUCGCUAAUGGGUAAGGCACUUACGAGUAUUAUAUCACGUCAGAUGUCCGUCCGCCUUCGAACGACGAGGUCGGUACGUUUUCGGUCUUCGUUAUGUAUUAUACCACCGUGACUUUCUGCGUUUUGUUUCUCGCGUGGUAUAAUUGGCAACCCUCGGCGUGUGAAGCGAGGAUCAUCGCCCCGUGAAAUUCGGUAUAACUCUUUAUCGGUGUCGCAAACAGGUUCGCGAAAUUAUUCGCAUUAAUUAAUGGAAGGAUAAUGUAAAAGGGUUUUCGCGCUGCGUUCAAGAUACGCAGUAUUUCAAUGUGGAAAAUAUUCGAACCGAAUACUCUCGGCAUUCCAGAGAACGCAGUUGAACUCUCCUCCGUGGAUUUCCUUUUUUUACAGACGCUGUACAUCGGGAGCAAUAAAACGCGUGACAGCUGCAUACCAUAAUUCGGUGCAACGAGUCUACGCGGAGGGUAGGGAAUACGUAAAAGAUUCCGAGCACCCGCGACUUCCGUUACUCGCGAAAGUGAUCCGAAAUUUUUUCGAACGUUACACACCAACACCAUUAGGGAUCUGCCGGGGAGAUAUAAAUCGCGUUUUCCACGCUGACAGUGACAAUGGGAUAGAAUCGAGAUACGAUAUUUCGGAGGGAUUCAAAUCGGAUUCCCACAGGAUAAACCCCCCCGUCUCGUUUUCAAAAUGUGGUUGCAUGUGGUUGUCACUGUACGCGCAAGGUCACAGAAGUAAUAGGAACUUCCCCCGCCUCUCCACCUGCAGCUAAGGGAUGUCAAUAAAUUUAUCACCCUAUAGGAUACCACGGUGACGGUGGAGAUACAUGUAGUUCCGCCGUUGCGUCGUGUAUUUCGCUGCUGGCUAAAAACGAAUGGAAUUCGAAAAGCAAUCCGGACGGUAGCGCUGCCUCCGCGCGCUGCACCCGCACAGAGCACGGUACCGCUGCACUCCGUGAUAUGGCGUGUAAAGUAAACAUAAUAUGAAUGCCUUACACCGUGCGCCAUCGCAAUCGGGUCGCAGCGGCUGAUGCUGAGCUCGUAAAAAUGGCCCAUAAAAGUACUGCAAUCGUUCCAGAGUGCGUCUGUGAGUGACGCGGAGGGUGGUAGGCUCGCUCCGAAAUAUAUUGCCUCUACGCUACGUGUCCUACGAAAGGUAAUGUUUGUCCAGACAGCGGAACAAUUUAUUUCCGUUUGUCCGAUCCAGAUGCCACGCGUCGCUUAAUUGAUAACGAUAUACCUACCCGUUCUCCCGCACCAACGUACCUACGUACAUCCCGCGUUCCCUCGCACCACCGAUAACUCGAUCUUUCCUCAGUUUUUCAAUAUAUUCUCGAUUCGAUGCGUUUUUCGUUUUUUUUCUCUCGUUUUCGUCGCUUACGUUUCGUUUCCGUUCCAACCGUUUCGCGACCCCCCUCCCGCUCCACCUCCGCUGAUUUUUACGUCCAACACCCGCUGGUGCAACAGAUAAGGAACGGGAAUACCGGUUUUCGGUUACGAUUACGAUCGGUGGUGCGCUACGUACCUAUGUAUAGGUAUGUAGCUUUCUAUUUCUCUGACCGUUCCCCGCUUCUGUUCACGGCUAAGGAAUCUCAUUUCCAGACGCGAGGCUUUUUACAGCCUCAUAAAACAAAACCGUUGGAUAGAGUACGCGGAUACAGACACACACGUACACAUCCCCGCAAUUACCUUCACGUACGCAAUAUCGCAUAAAUAUGGCGUAGAAAAAAAAUCAUACAAUAAUAAUACGUAAAGCAUGUACGGUGGAAAAAAAUUCGUACACACACGCGUGCGUAUUUUCUAUAUCAACGAAAAUGACGUACGUAUAUAUACAACCUAGACGUAGAAUCGUAGGAAGCUCGCGAAAACACGGCAAAGGAAAAGGGCGCGGGCAAGGGGAUAUGAAAUCGUGUGGGAAUUGCGCUGCUGGGCGGCUGCCAACGACGUCAGCGUUGCAAACGUUAAUUACUCCUGGCUAUAAUUUUGUAUCUCGCUGAUCUUCGCUCUGUGUACC